AUGCAACAAAUCACUCAGUUAGAACAAGAGCAAGCUGAGGAGCAGGUUCAGCAAAUAGCUGGCAGAGGGGGCAAUGCACAGAGAGAUCAAGUCCAAGACAACAGAAGACCUCUGACUUUGGUGAAACCUGCUAAGUAUAACAUACCGGAGUUUGAUGGCAGUGGAACUGACUCUUGGAUCCAAACCAUUGAAAUGUACUUUGAAGCUGCUAGGACACCACUGGAGCAGAAAACUGAAAUUGUUGUCACUUACUUAAAGGGGCCAGCAAUAGAGUGGUGGAGAGGAACUGGAAUUAUUGCCAAUACCCUACCCUGGUACAGGUUCUGUAGACUGAUUGGAGACAGGUUUUCCGAAACUUCAGUAUAUGACAAUGUCAGAACUUUUCAUGCUCUCAACCAAACUGGGUCUGUUAAUGACUAUGUGCUCAAGUUUGAACAGUCCAUGAACUUACUCAGGAGGGACAACCCUGCACUGCCUGCUGAUUAUUACAAAGCUAGUUUCAUUGCUGGUCUGAGUGACACUAUCCAACAUUAUUUUCAAUGUCAUGAACCAGCAGACCUACAAAAAGCUAUCUGGUUGGCCAGAAGAAUGGAACAAGCUCAGCCCAGCAAGAAAACACCAGUGGCUUAUAUUAAUCAGCCAGUUAGGAGGCAACUUCAGUUGGACCUAGGAAAGCCACCUCCUAACAACACACCUACUGUCAUCCAACGGGCCAGAAUGAAAGGAAUCUGCUACCAGUGCAAAGAACCAUGGUUUCCUGGCCACAAGAAAGUUUGCAAAUUGGCAAAUCAAAUGCAGAUACAAGCCUUGCAAGAGACCUGCCCUGAGGAUGCAGAACUGGUCUACUACACUGCUGAUGAUACUGAAGCUCCACCUCCCACUGACUUGGAUGACACUCCCUUGCAAAUCUCCAUGCAUGCCCUCAUGGGAGUCACUUCCUCCAAGCUGAGUUUCACUGUUACAGUCAUGUUGGGAGACAGACCUGCAACUGACCUCAUUGACAGUGGCAGCACCGCAACAUUUGUAACUCCUGCACUUGCAAAGCUGGCUCUGUGUGCUCUUACUCCAACUAAGAAAAAGAAAGUGUUAGUUGCCAAUGGAGCAACUCUAUGGACUGAAUUCAUUGCCACCCAGUGCCCUUUUGUGGUGCAAGGAACUAAAUUUUCCCAUGAUUUCCGAGUCCUACAGUUGCAAGGUUAUGAUGUGAUAUUGUGA
rnacentral:rRNA from 1 species